AUUGAACGCUGGCGGCAUGCCUUACACAUGCAAGUCGAACGGCAGCACGGGAGCAAUCCUGGUGGCGAGUGGCGAACGGGUGAGUAAUACAUCGGAACGUGCCCAAUCGUGGGGGAUAACGCAGCGAAAGCUGUGCUAAUACCGCAUACGAUCUACGGAUGAAAGCAGGGGAUCGCAAGACCUUGCGCGAAUGGAGCGGU
rnacentral:rRNA from 1 species